AAACAUUGUAAGCCAUGACAGCAGAGAAAAUGCUGGCUAGGGGAAUGCUGACUGAAAUGUAUUGAAAGGGCUUCAUUGUGAAAAGGUGCAGGGUUUUGUUCAGCUGGCUACAAUUCCUGGCUAAUUAAUGUGAUGUGCCAUUCCUGGCUGUUAGUCCUCUUAGUCCUUAGCUGGAGUUUUGUUAAGAGCAGAUGUGAUGAUGGUCCUGCUGCAGAAGCUUCAGAGAGCCCACUUCCAGUCACACAACAAAAGAACAGUCAUUGAAAAAGCCUGCCUUUCUCUUGCCAUGGAACCGAAGGUGGUAUAUGUCCACUUUCCAGAUGGUCAUCCCUCCAGGCACUGACCAGACCCAAGCCUGCUUCACCUCAGCAAGGAUGUGACCUCAUGUGUCUUCAGACCUUGGGCAAGCAAGAAGCAGAUGACACAUUGCAGCUUGGCAAAAAUCUUCAAAGGGGUCAUGGAGCAGGGACAGUGAUGGGCACAGCCUGGGGAUGGACAGUGGCCUGGAGAAAGACCUGGAGGGCCAGGAAGAGAAUCUUGGAGGGCCGCAUUCACCCCAGACCUGAGGUUUUCAGCCCUGCUCUACCCCACCCUUCAAAUAAAAAGCCAUGCUGAAGACAG